rnacentral:lncRNA from 1 species
UGCAGCUGAACUUGGUCUCAUGUAAGAAUCACCCAGGUGGUACUGGUUUUGAAGGCAUAACAGUGUCAUGAGGAGCAGCUGAGGCUUGGACCAAUGAAGAGAGCAUAAGUGAGACUAUCAGUGAAGCCUAGUUGCAGCAGAAGAACCCAACAUAUUGAAGAUGCCAGUCCAAUGGGAUGAGCAGAAAGAACAGCCCAGUAGAGUGGAGUCAACAAGAGCUUAGAGUGAUACAGAGGUCAGAGCUAGAGAAGUGACCUUAUCUCUCUGGAGGACUGCAGAAGAUCAU